rnacentral:lncRNA from 1 species
CGUUUUUUUAAAUGUUUUUUUUAGUUCUUUUUCUGUGUUUUUUUUUUUUUUAUUCUGAAAUAUCCCAAACGGAAGCUUUUCUCUUCGCAAAUAGUCGAAAUGAGAAUUUCUUUGAACCGUUAAUAGGUUUGGCUGAACGGUGUCAUGUUAGCAUCGAAAUACAGAAGAAAUUGUUAAAUAUUCAUGUUUCUCUGCAACUCACUUCACCCCAACUGCUUGUCUGAGUUGGGUUAAUGACUCACAGCCAUUUAUCUCAAGAAUUUAGGAUGUUCGUUCUUUGUCGCCGGAGAAUAAGAGAAACUGUAUCGACGAUAUAAGUCGAAAAUUUACCGAAGAAACUUUGCUCUUCCCAAGCUUUAUUGCAAUUACAACUACCACCACCACUACUACUACUACUAUAUUUCUUUUUUUUUUAGUUAGAAUCAACUUCCCGAUUUUUUUUUCAAUAUAAGUUAUUAGGAGUAUCGACACGGGCAGUAAGUAACCUGAUAGAUUUCGAUUUUGAUCUCUUAAAUGCUUUUGAUCAUCAGCUUCCUUCAAUCUAUAGCGGUGAGUAGAAUGCGCUAAUUACACUGGAUUGUAACCAUCCCUGUUAGAUUUAUAUAUCCAACAGGGAUAUAUAGGCCUAUAUAUCUUCAGACAUCUUCUAACAUGAUAAUAAAUAAUCCCAUCUUAAGAGAAACUCUCUAAGAUAUUUCCCUAAAAAUGUCUGUCGGAGAGAAAUCUUUCUCCUAUAUUAAGAUAUUCCUUCGAAUUUUUUUAAAAAAUCAUAGAAGAGAUAUUUUUUGGAGAAAUUUCCCUACUUCACGGAAUUAUUCCCCCCGAAUAAUUCAAUAAUUCAGUACAGAAACGGCAUUUAAAACGUUGGCGAACAACCCAUAUCGAAGUCGAAAACUCGAUUAAGGACAACGGCAUUUAAGGCGUGUUAAUUCGACGUCAUUUUCUUAAUUGCCGUUUGUUUUAAACUCGAAAGCGUAAAAAUGACCAUAUUUAAAGGAGCUAGGAAAAAAAAAAAAGAGGAGGAGGAAGGAGGAAAAAAAAUCUUUCGGAUAGUUCCGUUCAGCCGAUGAUUAUCUGAUCCGGUUAACUGCUCUGGCGAAUUGUUUGACUAAUGUCGCUGACGUCGAGAUCAAUUAAUUAGUCGCCACACACGAAAUUUUCCCAAAAUGCAGAAAAUUACAUUCACGUAAAAUAUCAAUCUGCAGAUUAUUCUAAACAUUUUAAUAUUUAUUCUACGGUUUUAUAAAUUCCGAAAAUUUUCCUUCCCACCCCGGAUCCUUUCUGAUUUUUCGUGACUGUUGCGCUACGUUUAACAGACUUUAAUAAACGUCUUUAAAAUUUAACAAUUAAUCGCUCUAUAUAUUCU